UACACUCAAGGAUUAAACCAACUUAAAGAAGAAGAGUGAUAUAAAUUGUUUGGGGGUGCUUUCCAAACGUUGUUCCAGAUUUGGGGUCUGAAGAUACAAAGGAAAUGGCUUUUUACCACGCUUCACUUUGAAUGGAGGAAGAGAGGAAACUGCCUUGUAAAUGGGUCUUUUAAUGAUUCCUCCCCUAACUUUUGGAAGGAACUCAGCAGGGACUUAUCUUGAAUUCUGCUUAAAGAUUAAGACUAUAUGAAGUGGCCAUUUGCAGAAGAAGAAUGGGUCAGAAGAUGGAAGAAUGAGAUCCUGAGAGGGGAUUUGAUCAUUACACAAAUGUAUCCUGAACAAAGUCAAAGAGAACCAUAAAAAGCUGUUUGUUGACAAACAUGAUGUCUUAUCAGCCUGCUCCUCAUCUGAUGAUGAAAACAACAGCACCAACCACCUCAGCAGCAUCUGUCACACAACAUGAAAGCAGUAGAAAAAUUGUGGCAGAGCCAGAGAAAGGAGGAAAAGAAAUAGCCUGAUUCAGAGGCAGAGACUAAAGAUUAUGUGCAUAUAGACACACACCAGGAAAAGCACCCCGUGAAGAUAAGGCAGAGAUUGGGGCAAUAACUCACAAGCCAAGUGACAACAAAGGUUGCCAGCAAACCUGCAGAAGUUAGGAGAGAGGCCAAGAGCAGAUCUUUUCCUAGUGCCUUCACGCUCCCAUCAGAGGGAACAUGGCCCUGCCGACACCUUGAUCUCAGACUUCUGUGAGACAAUAAAUUUCUGCUGAUUAAGUCA